AGAGAGAGAGAGAGAGACAGAACCAUCAAUGUCUCUGCCAGAAAGCUGCCCAUGGACCCACGGUCAAGUCCCUCACUGCCUAGCUGCAUGACCUUCGGUGAACCUUAAACUCUGUGAGCCUCAUUUUCCCCAUUGGGCCAACAGAAAAUGCACGCUCUGGGUACUUGUAAAAGUGUCACGCAAACUGCCUUCAAGUAGGAGUGGCUCGCGGGUCGGCUGUGGGAGGCGCGCCAAUGUUCUUCCAGUCUGCGUUGUCACGGGGUGCAUCUCUUACGAACUGAUCACGCUCUGCCUUACCUGGGUGUGUGGAAGUUUCGUGUACGUUACCUGGGUAAUAGACGCCUCCGGGAACUCCACCAGGAACAGCCCCCGGGACCCCUGGAAAUAAGUGCACCUGUUUAGAAAGGACAGAGCCGUCAGCCCCGCAGGACUCUGAGCAUCUUACUGCUUUGCCUGGAAACCCUCAAUUGUCUUCCAGAUAAAGUCCGGACUUCUGAGUAUGGCCUUCAAGGCCCUCUAUGACACAGUUCAACGGCUCUGACACUCUCCUUCCUUUUGGCUGGCCUCCCUUCUGGCUGGUGGAGCUGCUCCCUAGCUCCCAGACUUGUCCUGGAGGGCUGGACAUUGGCAAGGCUCCCUAGUCUCAGCUUCUGUCCCUGCAGGUCUGUGCCCUCGGCAUCCCUGCCUCCAGCCCCUCUGAGGGGCGUUGGUGAGAGCCUUUGUGGCUGGGCUUGGCGCUUCAUCUUAGGCCCCUCUGGCCGGGCCAUCACUGAGGGUACUUUGAAGAUGGACCCAUUUCUGUCUCCCGUGUCGUCCAAGAGUGUUGGAUAAUAGCACAGUUGUGCCCUCUGGGAGCUGGGGGGCAGAAGCUGCUGAUGUGAACCGAUCCCCGGAAGUCUGGGUGUGGUUUCUGUUUCCCCCCUGUCUACACAUGGUCCUUUUGUCUGUCCGGUACUGGAUGUGGCUGUCUGCGUGGGACCUGGAACCAGAGAGAGAGAAAGAGAGAGACAAGCAUUUGCGUUAGGGCUGGCCUGGGAAGAGCUUGGUGUCCAUCGGACCUGGGACCCAUGCUGUGCUCCCUCCCAGCGCAUGGGGCCGUCUGCUUUCAGCCAUCUCCACCUCCGUGUGAGUAAGGGUCCUUUCAGCCAGUCCCGUAGGAAAUAAAGUCAAGGUUACACUGUUAGGGAGAGCAUGAAUUUUUCAGAUGGACCCAGCUGAGGUUUGGGAAGGAACGGAAUGUCGGUCGGGAGCGUGGGUCCAAGUGUAGACACUUCUGGAGGGUAUCAGCAGCAGGGCCAAGUGAAGGACCCCUUCUCCCGACCCGACCCACCCUCGCUCAUCGGAGAGACCCAGCUGCAGACAUGAAGGCCAGAACCUGCCACUCUUCUGAUUUUAAAUUUUCCAAUAGCCUCACAAAAUAAAGAAAAUGUAAGUAAAAUUAAUUCUGAUCAUAUGCUCUAUUUAACUGACUAUACCUAAAAUAUCAUCUGAACGUGUAAUUGAUAUAAAAGUUAUGGAGAUGUUCUACAUUUCUUUUAUUGUACCGAGUCUUAAAAUUGGCAUGGGCAACAAAUAUCAUAUGACCCAGCAAUACCACCUCUGGAUAUUGAUCUGAAGGAAACAA